AAGUCGUAACAAGGUUUCCGUAGGUGAACCUGCGGAAGGAUCAUUACCAAAUCCAAAAAAUACCCAAACCCCAUGUGAACUAUUGUUUGUUGUACUUGGGGUGGUUGGUGGUAUAAAGGUUUUUUUUAAACUUUUUUCCCUGCCCGCCCCAAAAGAAUCCGGCACUCCGGUGCUUGUGAUUCUUGAUAAACUACAGAUUUCUAUUGUUUUGGAAUGACUUUUAUUUAAAUUUAAUAAAAGACAACUUUUAACGGUGGAUCUCUUGGCUCGUG
rnacentral:misc_RNA from 1 species